ACUACGGGAGGCAGCAGUGGGGAAUAUUGGGCAAUGGGCGCAAGCCUGACCCAGCAACGCCGCGUGAAGGAAGAAGGCUUUCGGGUUGUAAACUUCUUUUCUGAGGGACGAAGAAAGUGACGGUACCUCAGGUAUAAGCCACGGCUAACUACGGGCCAGCAGCCGCGGGAAUACGUAGGUGGCAAGCGUUCUACGGAUUUAUUGGGUGUAAAGGGCGGGGAGGCGGGAAAGCAAGUUAGAUUGGAAACCUCAGGGCUCAACCCUGUGCGUGCAUUGGACACUGUUGUUCGUGAGUGCUGGAGAGGCAAGCGGAAGUCCGUGUGUAGCGGUGAAAUGCGUAGAUAUACGGAGGAACACCAGUGGCGAAGGCGGAUUGCUGGACAGUAACUGACGCUGAGGCGCGAAAGCGUGGGGAGCAAACAGGAUUAGAUACCCUGGUAGUC
rnacentral:rRNA from 1 species